rnacentral:rRNA from 1 species
UGCAAGUCGAACGGUGAAGCGAGAGCUUGCUCUCGUGGAUCAGUGGCGAACGGGUGAGUAACACGUGAGUAACCUGCCCCAGACUCUGGGAUAAGCCUUGGAAACGAGGUCUAAUACCGGAUACGAGACGAGAUCGCAUGGUCAUCGUCUGGAAAGAAUUUCGGUCUGGGAUGGACUCGCGGCCUAUCAGCUUGUUGGUGAGGUAAUGGCUCACCAAGGCGACGACGGGUAGCCGGCCUGAGAGGGCGACCGGCCACACUGGAACUGAGACACGGUCCAGACUCCUACGGGAGGCAGCAGUGGGGAAUAUUGCACAAUGGGCGCAAGCCUGAUGCAGCGACGCCGCGUGGGGGAUGAAGGCCUUCGGGUUGUAAACCCCUUUCAGCAGGGAAGAAGCGAAAGUGACGGUACCUGCAGAAGAAGCGCCGGCUAACUACGUGCCAGCAGCCGCGGUAAUACGUAGGGCGCAAGCGUUGUCCGGAAUUAUUGGGCGUAAAGAGCUCGUAGGCGGUCUGUCGCGUCUGCUGUGAAAACCCGAGGCUCAACCUCGGGCCUGCAGUGGGUACGGGCAGACUAGAGUGUGGUAGGGGAGACUGGAAUUCCUGGUGUAGCGGUGGAAUGCGCAGAUAUCAGGAGGAACACCAAUGGCGAAGGCAGGUCUCUGGGCCACUACUGACGCUGAGGAGCGAAAGCAUGGGGAGCGAACAGGAUUAGAUACCCUGGUAGUCCAUGCCGUAAACGGUGGGCACUAGAUGUGGGGCUCUUUCCAUGAGUUCCGCGUCGCAGCUAACGCAUUAAGUGCCCCGCCUGGGGAGUACGGCCGCAAGGCUAAAACUCAAAGGAAUUGACGGGGGCCCGCACAAGCGGCGGAGCAUGCGGAUUAAUUCGAUGCAACGCGAAGAACCUUACCAAGGCUUGA